AAAAUACUAUAAGGAGAAAUGAGCGUCCGUGAGGGAAGGUGAGCAUGCAUUGUGGCUCGGCUGGACGUGGGGAUGGCUACGAGAGGUGGUCGGUGGCCAAAGGAGGUCCCAGUGGUGGUGCGGUGGCUAGAGGAGGUGGAGCUUUGCCGUGGG